UUUUUUUUUGAGGAAUGAUGAGGAAAAAUGUA
rnacentral:sRNA from 1 species